rnacentral:snRNA from 1 species
AGCUUUGCGCAGUGGCAGUAUCAUAGCCAAUGGGGUUUAUCCGAGGUGCGAUUAUUGCUAAUUGAAAACUUUUCCCAAUUUAAAAAAAAAUUUCAGCCAUCCUACCUCUAAU